UUAGCUUUAUUAGUGCCUUCUGCUGUUGUUUUGGUGGUUACUGCAGCUCAAUUUCAGUGUGUUUCUGUUUCUCAAAUGCUUAGAAAAUGCCAAGCCUUCCAACUCCCAGGAUUUUUGGCAGAUCUGCAUUUGUGCCAAUUUUUAAGGAGGCUGAGAAAGCUUAUUGUGAAGAAUGAUUUUUAGUUGUAUUUUUUUCAUCUGCUAAUGUUGCAUGUUCAGCCAAAGCAUGAACAGCAUCCCACCAGCCAUAUUGUAUUACAUUAUGAAAUUGAGAAUUGCAUUAACAAGAUAAUCUCAUAGAUAUUUCUGAGACAGGAGAAAUGUGCGCAAUCAUUUUCUAAAGGGCAAGGAGAAAAUGGCAUCCAAUUGGACAGCAGUUGAUACUGGAAAAGAAGAGUCCAGCCCAAGUGAGCGUCUGGGCUCCUUUCUGUGACAGACGUCACCCUCCCAGCCAGCCUGCCAGUGCCCCAGCAGCAUAUGCUGUAAUCUGGAAGAUGCGGUUUCUAGUUACCAACCUGAUAACUCUCUGCAGCAUGAAAAUGAAGUGACUUAUGUCAGAAAAACAAAUAAACAAGAUAAACAAAUAGGCAACAAAUGAACAAACAAAACAAUUGUCUAUGGAUCAAUCUAAAACUCCUACCAAGUUCAAUAUCUUCUGUGUAAGUUUGGAGAGAUGCCUUAAGGACUUGGUAAAAGUCACCUCUCUCUGUGCUGAGGCUGGCUUCAGAUUUCUCUCUUGUAUCAUGAGAAAUUAGAACUGGAAAAAAAGAAAGAUUCAAGGUCUUCAAAUGCUAUAUUCAGCCAAGAAGUGAUACACUUGUGAAGACUGAAAGACUGCCUAACUUGACAAGAAUAACACCCAUGAACACUGUCUGAAACAAACUUAAUAGAAGACAUAUAGCUAUUCUAUAGAAUCAGGCUCUGAAUGUUAUAAUUUUUAGAAAAAGUGAUAUUUCACUAGAGAAUAAGUAAUUUACCCAAAAUAGACUUCAAUCAAAACCAAGAGUUUGGACCUGGGAGUGAAAACUGGACAUUUACCAUAACUAUACCAGUUAUGGUUCACAAAAGCUAGUAAAGUGAUUAAAAGCCUAGUUUUAAUCCCAUUUUAGUACUGUUACAUUCGUGAUCCUGAGUGCAUUACUAAAAACUCUGUGGUAGGACUCCUUAUUUAUAUUGAAUAAUACUGAAUCUGCCUCAAUAAUACUGAUUGCCAUGACAUGAGAUGUAUUCAUUCAUGUGAAGUUCUGAGAACAGGGUCUGGUUACACCAACAUGAAAUUGCUAUAAUUAUUGUUACCGCUGCAAGUACUAGGAAAUCAACAGAGAAUAUUGCAUUUUCCAGGAUGAUUACUCAGGAAAUAAGGGCUUGGCAGUGGGAUUUGUUGUAAUUUUUAUUCAAAAUAGUUUUCUUAUUUAUACUGUUUCAUUUCUUUCUGAAGUCAAUAUGUAUAUUUCUUAGUGAAUUUUAAUUAUAGAGAAAUUAAAACAAAUGC
rnacentral:lncRNA from 1 species